UUCUUUCCCCCAAAUCUCCUCAUUGUCUUCUCUCUCUAGGUUUCGAUUAGGAAUUAGGGUUUCUAAUCUCUCUCUCUCAAUUGGAUUCUUGAACUCGGAUUCGUUCUUCAUCUCCCCACCCACCAUCGGCAACCAUGACUGAGUAUUGGGUAAGCCAGGGGAAGAAGUGGUGCGAGUUCUGUAAGAUAUGGACUCAGAACAACGUGACAAGUAUCAGAAACCAUGAGCUUGGUAAACACCACCGUGAAUGUGUCGAGAAACUUGUAUGACUGAUACAACGGUUAUAAGUUAGUGCAUUUGCGGAAUACUUAUAACUAGUUAACUACAAAAUACAUCAGUUGUUAAAUGAUAAAUUAACAAUAUUUCUGUUUUAUAUAAUUAUAAAAACAUUUAAAACUA